rnacentral:tRNA from 1 species
UCCCAGGUAGCUCAGUGGUAAAGAAUCCGCCUGCCAAUGCAGGAGACACAGGUUCGAUCCCUGUGUUGGGAA